UCCGGCGCGCGAGCCCCCGGGGGCGGGUAAAACCCGGUUGCUGCUGCCCCUGCCCCUCCCUUUCCUCCUUAUCCCCCAUUACUAUUAUUUCCUCUUUUUUCAACCCCUCCCCCUUUUUACAAUCUCAUUCAUUUCUUGAUUUCUUUUUUUAGGGGGCCCCAUCUGCCUUUCGAGGGGCGCAGCAGGCGCGGCGGGCGCCCCUCACCCUGCGUCACGCACGCAUCUUCUGCAACCCAACAGCUCCGGGCCCCGCUGCACCCCACAGGCCCUUCCCCCUUGGAGAAGACCCUCCUCAGGAGCCCCUGGCCCGCUGCACCCCCUUUUCUUUCCCACUCCGUACCCCCGGGCCUCAACUGCCCCCUCGCAGCCCCCCAGCUCGCGCCGCGGGCCCUACCCGACCUCCCCACCUUCUGCAUCUGGGCCUUGCAUUCGCUAGCCUCUUCCAGGCCCCUUCUGCUCAAAAUCCCCCUUCCUCCUCCGUAGUCCCACUUUGGGGCACCCAGAUUUAUCCCUUUUUAGGAUCUUCCAGCAAAACUCCAAAUCUCUCCUCCCUUCCUUGACAUGCCCCUCCCCCUCCUUUAAGUAACUUCCUUUAGCGCAAAAAAAGAAAAAAAAUUAGCCCAGUUUUUUUUCAUCCGUUCAGGAUCACUUUCCAGCAAAAUUUUUUUCUUCACACCUAGAGUGCCCCUUUUUGGAAUGUCUUCGCUUAGAACAAACCAACUAAUUCCUUCCAGUUUCUCUCUCGUCUAAUAUUUAUGUUUCCAGUCCUCCUCACCUACCCCCAACUUUCCAGCAAAUAUCCUUAUUUUAUCACCAAUUCUGCCCUAAUUAAGUUUCUCCGGUAAAAUUCUCUAGGUCUCUUCCCACGGGGGAAAAAUAAGGAAAGAAGGAACAAUUAUUUCUUCUUACCAAAAAAACCUUUCCUCCUCACUCAAAUCUCCGCUGUUGAUACUGCUUUCUGCCUUCUUCCAAAAAUUGUUGCUCUUCUCCAUUUUCACAUCUCUGUUCUUGUUUCUUUGGGACCGAAGUCCUGACUGCUUCUUCCUUCCCACCACCUGCUUUCAGGGCAAAAGAAAUUGGGAGUAUCCUGCAUUUACCACUCAGUGUUCCAGGAGGACAUAUCCAGUGGUCUGCUUGUCACCUGAACCCCCUCCCUGUGGGGCCUAAACUGGGUCCUCCUGUUCCCUGGAGAUUCACUAACUUGCUCUUCUGGAAUUAGUUGCCAUCAAGGGCUCUCUCCUCCCUCUCUCCUUACAUGGUUCUGCUUAUCCGGAGAGUAGCUCUUGGCCAAGACCUGGCGGUGGAGAGCCAUGGACCAGUACAGCCUUAGAGACGAGGGUGCCCUCCCAUCAGAAAUGCACCUCCCUUCAUUUUCAGAGAGCCAAGGGCUCAACUGCAGCGACACCCUCAACCGGGAUUUGGGUCCCAACACGCGAGGCUUUCUUUAUGCUGGCCUGAGUGGUCUGGACCCGGACCCCAGCCUCCCAACGCCUGACAUGUCCAGCGAGGUGCUGGAGGACAACUUAGACACCUUGUCCCUGUACUCCGGGAAGGACAGUGAUUCUGUGAAGCUGCUGGAGGAGUACGCAGAUUCAGAGUCUCAGGCAUCCUUACAAGACCUGGGGCUAGGUGUGCUUAAGGCUAAAGAGGCUGACGAAGGAGGAAGGGCCACCUCGGGGAGUGCCAGGAAAGGAAAGCGGCAGCACAGUUCCCCUCAAAACCCACUUCUGGACUGCAGCCUGUGCGGGAAGGUGUUCAGCAGCGCCAGUUCUCUGAGCAAGCACUACCUGACACACAGCCAGGAAAGGAAGCACGUCUGCAAAAUCUGCAGCAAGGCCUUUAAGCGCCAGGACCACCUGACCGGGCACAUGCUCACCCACCAGAAGACAAAGCCCUUCGUGUGCAUCGAGCAGGGCUGCAGCAAGAGCUACUGCGACUACCGCUCUCUGCGCCGGCACUACGAGGUCCAGCACGGCCUGUGCAUCCUGAAGGAAGCCCCCCCGGAGGAAGAGGCCUGCGGGGACUCCCCCCACGCCCACGAGUCGGCCGGCCAGCCGCCCCCCAGCAGCCUGCGGUCCCUGGUGCCCCCAGAGGCCAGGUCCCCCGGCUCCCUCCUGCCCCACCGGGACCUCCUGCGCCGCAUCGUGAGUAGCAUCGUCCACCAGAAGACCCGUUCUCCUGGCCCAGCCCCGGCGGGGGCUUCAGACAGCGAAGGGAGGAACACUGCCUGUCCCUGCCCCGCCUCAUCGGGGUCCUCGUCCUGCACCCCAGCCGGCCCCCACGCGGCCCCAGCAGCGCUGGACACCGAGCUUCCCGAGGAGCCUCGCCUCCCACAGAAAGAGCCGGCCACUGACGUGUUCACAGCCGCUAAUUCCAGGGCCGCCGAGAACGGCGCCCCCGACCCGCCAGAGCCGGAGCCAGAUACCGCGCUGCUCCAGGCCCGGUCCACCGCAGAGUGCUGGCCCGAGGGCGGCUCCGUGCCUGCCUGCCUGCCUCUCUUCCGAGGCCAGACGGUCCCUGCCAGUUCCCAGCCAUCGAGCCACAGCUUCCAGUGGCUCCGGAACCUGCCGGGCUGUCCCAAAAGCAAAGGCAACAACGUGUUUGUUGUCCACAAGCCCUCGGCCGUGCCCUCGCGGGAGGGCUCCGAGUCUGGCCCGGGACCCAGCAGCGGAAGCCCCUCGGAGGAGUCCCCGCCCGGCCCCGGCGGCGGCCUGGAGGAUGCGCUGCCCUUCCCUGCCGCGCUCCUCAGGGCCCCCGCGGAGGCCCCGAGCGACCCCAGGUCGGCCAGCGGGGAAGAUGACCCCUGCGCCCCCAAGAAGGUCAAGGUCGACUGCGACUCCUUCCUGUGCCAGAACCCCGGGGAGCCCGGCCUCCAGGAGGCCCAGAAGGCAGGCGGGCUCCCUGCGGAUGCCUCGCCGCUCUUCCGCCAGCUCUUCCUCAAGUCGCAGGAACCUCUUGUGAGCCACGAGCAGAUGCAGGUGUUCCAGAUGAUAACCAAGUCCCAGCGGAUCUUCUCCCAUGCCCAGGUGGCAGCAGCCUCCUCCCAGCUCCCUGCGCCCGAGGGCAAACCAGCCGCCCUGAGGCCGCUGCAGGGGCCGUGGCCGCAGCAGCCCCCGCCACUGGCUCCUGCUGUGGACUCUCUACACGCCGGCCCUGGAAACCCCGAGGCAGAGGGCUCCCCAGCCCGCAGGAGAAAAACCACACCCGGGGUUCCCAGAGAGGCCUCCCCCGGCAGCACGAGACGAGACGCAAAGGGGGGACUGAAAGUGGCCGCGGUUCCAACGCCCCUUGCAGCGCCGUCUCUGGACCCUUCCAGGAAUCCAGACAUCUCUUCUCUGGCCAAGCAGCUGCGAUCCUCUAAAGGGACCUUGGACCUGGAGGACAUCUUCCCCUCCACAGGCCAACGGCAGACCCAGUUAGGUGGGGAGGAGCCACCAGGAGCCUCGCUGCCAGGGAAGCAGGCCCCAGCCGAGAAUGGCGCGGCUUCAAGGAUCACAAAAGGUGAAAAGGGCCCAGCCUGUUCCCGGGGUGGAGGCUACCGGCUCUUGGGCAACCCCAGGGCCCCGCGAUUCUCCGGCUUCCGGAAAGAGAAGGCGAAGAUGGAUAUGUGCUGUGCGGCUUCUCCGAGCCAGGUAGCCAUGGCCUCCUUCUCAUCGGCCGGGCCCCCGGCAGAUCACUCCAAGUCCAAGCUGACAAUAUUCAGCAGAAUCCAGGGUGGAAACAUCUACAGGCUCCCCCAUCCGGUGAAGGAAGAGAACAUGGCAGGCAGAGGUAACCAGCAAAACGGCAGUCCCACAGACUGGACGAAGCCCAGGAGCACUUUUGUCUGCAAGAACUGCAGCCAGAUGUUUUAUACGGAGAAAGGGCUGAGCAGCCACAUGUGUUUUCACAGCGACCAGUGGCCGUCACCUCGAGGGAAGCAGGAACCGCAGGUGUUUGGCACAGAGUUUUGCAAGCCGCUAAGACAGGUGCUGAGGCCAGAAGGGGACAGGCAUAGUCCCCCAGGAGCCAAGAAGCCCUUGGACCCCACAGCUGCAGCCCCUUUGGUGGUCCCCCAGUCGAUCCCCGUGGUUCCAGUGACCCGACACAUAGGGAGCAUGGCCAUGGGACAAGAGAAAGACGGGGAGGAGCGAGACAGCAAGGAGAGCAGCCAGCAGAGAAAGCGGAAGAAGCGGCCCCCACCCAAGGGGCUGUUCAUCCCUCCUCCACCCUCCACGGCUGGGGAGCCUAGCCCUGCAGGAUGCCACCAGAGCCGCCUGCGGUCGCCCAUGUUCCUGGUGGACUGCCUCCUGAAGGGCUUAUUCCAGUGCUCCCCCUACACACCACCCCCAAUGCUCAGCCCCAUCCGGGAGGGCUCUGGGGUGUACUUCAACACUCUCUGUUCCACGUCCACUCAGGCCAGACCUGACCAGCUCAUCAGCUCCAUGCUCGAUCAAGUGGAUGGGUCCUUUGGCAUCUGUGUGGUGAAGGAUGACACCAAGAUCAGCAUUGAGCCACAUAUCAAUAUAGGAAGCCGGUUUCAGGCAGAGAUCCCGGAACUCCAGGAGAGAUCCCUGGCUGGAAUUGACGAGCAUGUAGCUUCUCUGGUCUGGAAGCCAUGGGGAGAUAUGAUGAUCAACUCAGAGACACAGGAUAGAGUGACCGAGCUCUGCAAUGUGGCAUGCUCCAGCGUGAUGCCAGGAGGGGGCACCAACCUGGAGCUCGCUCUGCACUGCCUGCACGAGGCUCAGGGCAACGUUCAGGUCGCUCUGGAGACUCUCCUGCUCCAAGGGCCCCACAAGCCACGGACACACCUGCUCGCUGACUAUCGCUACACAGGUUCAGACGUCUGGACCCCUAUAGAGAAGAGGCUUUUUAAGAAGGCGUUCUAUGCCCACAAGAAGGACUUCUACUUGAUACACAAGAUGAGACGCUCGCCGGGUGCAGUGGCUCACACCUGUAAUCCCAGCACUUUAGGAGGCUGAGGCAGGUAGAUCACGAGGUCAGGAGUUCGAGACCAGCCUGGCCAAUAAGGUGAAACCCCGUCUCUACUAAAAACACAAAAAAUAGCUGGGCAUGGUGAUGCGCGCCUAUAAUCCCAGCUACUCGGGAGGCUGAGGCAGAGGAAUUGCUUGAACCUGGGAGGUGGAGGUUGCAGUGAAAAAAAAAAAAGAUACUCGCUCUGGAGUACCGUGACACUAUCAUAGCUCACUGCUGGCCGGGUGCAGUGGUUCAGGCCUGUAAUCCCAGCACUUUGGGAGGUCGGGGCAGGCAGAUCACCUGAGGUCAGGAGUUCAAGACCAGCCUGGCCAACAUGGUGAAACCCUGUCUCUACAAAGAUACAAAAAUUAGGUGGGCAUGAUGGAGGGUACCUAUAAUCCCAGCUACUCAGGAGGCUGAGGCAGGAGAAUCACUUGGACCCGGGAGGCGGAGGUUGCAGUGAGCCAAGAUCGUGCCAUUGCACUCCAGCCUGGGCGACAGAGCGAGAUUCUGUCUCAAAAAAAAAAAAAAAAGGCUCACUGCAGCCUUGAACACCUGGGCUCAAGCGAUCAUCUCGCCUCAGCAUCUUAAGUAGCUGGGACCACAGGCAUGCACCACCAUGACUGGCUAAUUUUUAAAAAAUUCUGUAGAGAUGGGGUCUUGCUAUGUUGCCCAGGCUGGUCUCGAACUCCUGACCUCAAGUCGUCCUCCUGCCUCAGCCUCUCAAAGUGCUGGGAUUACAGGCGUGAGCCACCAAGCCCAGCUUCCCUUUUGUUUUUAACAGAAGUUAUUUUUAGUGGGAUCCUUUCUUAGUGGAGGAACGGGAAAAUAAUCCCCUAGGUUCACACUGUGCACUCAAAACCUCCCCUUCUUCUAGAGUGGGUCACUUCCUGCCAAGACUUUAGAGGCUCUGCCUAGCUGUUGUAAUGUCUGUGUGGUAUUCUGCCUGCAGAGAGCAUUCCGAUUUAUUAGCAUGAUGUCACAGUUGGCGUCCCUGGUGCGACCUUUGUGCCCAUCUUCCUUAGGAAAGAAUUCCUGAGCUGGAAUGGCUGCUCAGAGUGUGCAGGCUCAGGUACUGGUGGCUACUAUGUGGCUCCAGUUUGAACACCCUCGUCCCCAGGAAGGAUUUUGUGGUCCUGUGCCUUUGUGAUCCAGACAAAGACGGUAGCUCAGUGCGUUGAGUAUUAUUACAUCUGGAAAAAAAUGAUCAAGUUUGACUGUGGCCGAGCCCCAGGGCUAGAAAAGAGGGUCAAGAGAGAGCCGGAGGAAGUGGAAAGGACAGAGG